rnacentral:rRNA from 1 species
UACAGAGGUCUCAAGCGUUGUUCGGAUUCAUUGGGCGUAAAGCGUGCGUAGGCGGUUCGUUAAGUUCGUUGUGAAAGCCCCGGGCUCAACCUGGGAAUGGCAAUGGAAACUGGCGGGCUUGAGUAUGGCAGAGGGGGGUGGAAUUCCGCGUGUAGCAGUGAAAUGCGUAGAGAUGCGGAGGAACACCGAUGGCGAAGGCAGCCCCCUGGGCCAAUACUGACGCUCAGGCACGAAAGCGUGGGGAGCAAACAGG